rnacentral:rRNA from 1 species
AUGGGCCAUGACAAUGUGGCAGGCCAGCCAUCAACCUGUGGUGCCCCUGUAGUGGUGUCUUUGCAGUCAGAGAGCCAUACUCUAGAUGACACGGGAACCGAGGCAAAUGUUCCUGGUCCAACCAGGACUGAGCUAGGAGCUGGGGCUGUUGACGGAGCUGUGCAAGAAGAAGAAGGAGAGGAUGAGGCCGGUUCUCAACCUAUGAAACCCUAUGUUGGCCUGAGGUUUGACAACCUUCAAAUUGCUAAGGAUCACUACAAUAGCUACACACUACGGAUGGGUUUCUCUAUCAAGAUGAACACAUCUAGACGGGCACCCCGCACCAAUGAAUUGAUAAAACAACAGUUUUGCUGUAACAAGUUCAAGAAGCCCAAAGCUGAUGAUGGAGGAGCUGAGGCUCCUCCUGUCCUGGACCCUAUUCCAGAUCCAAAAUCUGUUGACAAUGAUAAGGAGAUGGAAGAAGAACCUCCAAUAUUUGCUGAAGAGGAGGCUGGUACUAGUAAGAAGAAGAAGAAGCGCAAAUGUGAGACAAUAAAGCAGACUCAGUGCAAAGCGAAAAUGUUGGUGAAGCUGAUAGAUGGGCGAUGGGAGGUGACGCACUUUGUUCGUGACCACAAUCAUCCGCUCGUGAACAAAUCUUUAUUGUCCAAAUACUUGAGAUCCCACCAAGGCAUCUCACCUGAUGAAAAGGAGUUUCUGCGCAUCUUGUAUAACUGCAACUUGACUACAAGUAUGGUGUUUUUCUAUAUCCCUUAA